AUAAUCUGAUCAUGACUGACAUUCCCAACCAAAGCUAUUGCGUGCAACCAGCCAUUGAGGUUAUCCAGUUGGUUCCUCAAGAACCACAGGAGAAGAUGCAGAGAUCCCCUCAAAAAAGAGGAACUUUUAAGUAAAUAAAAAAAGUGGGAUAAGCUGUCGAGGUGCAGGGUACUGACCUACAACCAAGCCAUCGUGCCACAUGGAAUAUAUACUUGGAACAGAUAAGCUAAAGGGACUAUGUGGGGUUUUCAGGAAGCAGCUGGGCCAGUAUCUCUUUGGAGAUCAAAUUCAGGCUCCACCCUUUACUGUGCAUAUAAAUAAUACAUUAGCCUAUUUAUUUCAAGUUUGGUAUUCAGCACUCAUACAGGAUUCUGUAUUCGCCCUGAAAGGGGCUUGUUAUUACCCUUGAGUAUCUUUAGAGAGCUCCCUCAUACAUGUUCUGUUUUGGCAUGUUUAUGUUCCCUUUAAUACAGUUUUAAUGAGCAAUACAACGAGACAAAGAGGGUCUCUGGAAUAGGACUGUUUAAUGAACUGCAUCUUUGUAAGAACCUGAGAAUAAAAGUUAUGCACAGUAUAUAUAUUUAAUAAAUGAUUAAUUCAA